UGCAACAGAAAGUCCGAGUAAUUACACCAACGCCUCGUGGAGCAGAACUGAAAGUGUUGGUAGAAUCUUUGAUGCAAGAACCACAUUCCGACUAAAUGGAGGGAAAAUGAAAUUUGAAUACUUAAAUUAUUCAAAUUGUUCUAAACCACGAAUAUGUAUAUAUAUCACGAUACAUAUUAACAUGAAAUAUCCAAAUGAACAAUCUUUUUUUAGAAAAGUUAUAUUAACAACAUUGCUUUUACUAAUUAAAAAAAUUCUUCAAUCUUAACUUUAUAUAUUAUAUUAAAUUCGCGAAUCUUCCAUUCAAAUACAGUCCCACGAUAACACGGAUGUCUACAAUAUAUUGCACGAACGAUUUAAUUAACGGCAUACCGCGAUAAACCGUAAACGAACGGACGGUUGCACACGGAAUCACUUUCAUUCGUGUUACCGCACCGAUCAUGCGCACAAAUUAAAUCGAAACGCGCGAACCCGCGCGUCUGCGCAGAUGAUAGAGUCGACUGCGCGCCUAGUCGAAAUUCAUCGGCAUGCGCGCGCAUGGUUGAACCGCAUGUUGCGCAAGCGAAGUAACGCGCAGUCUGGCUGGCAGAUAAUUCGAUAGCGAUUCACGAUCGUUUCUCGGCGAGCUCUGGUAUUUUAUCGGAAAAUCUUCGGUAUUAUCAAGUAGAUUUAUUUUCUCUCGUUAUGAUCGAAUUUACGCUUCGAUGCCUUGAAAAACGAAAGAGCAUAUCAUGGAUAUUUAACCUUUAUAAGUGAUGAGGUUAUGUUCUAUUCUGGUCCUAUUGUAUUAUCUUCGUUUUUUUAUUAUUAUUAAGAAUAAAUAAAGAUUUAUCGCAAUGUAAUUUACAUAUUAUAACAGAUAUUUACAAAAGACAAGACAGAUAUUUAACACCUAUUUACGAAGAAAUGAAUAAUUUAUUAUCAAAUGCUCAUUAUUUUGUUAUGUCAUAGCGAGCACAUCCCCUCAUGUUACUUCGAACUCAUUACAAAGCGUGGCCAGUAACAUAAUUCAUUGCAACAAUAACGUUCCAUGGUCCGGUUUCGAGAGAGAAAGAGAGUGAGGGAAUACUGAAUGCUCUUUCAUUGUAUUAAUUUAAAUUUUUAUGCCCAACCAUGACCGGGCGAGAAGGAGGAAUCUUUUGUGCGUCGUCGACUGCUAAGCAACUAUCAUCAAUUAUCCUCCGACAUUGGGAACGCGAAGCUCAUGGUACAUCUUCGAGAACGCCUCGAGAGACUCUUUCGAGUAUAUAAGAUAUUUGUGGCAUUACAAAAUUAAAAUUGGAAUUAUUUUUUAAAUAAAUUUUAACUAUUUAAUUAUAUAUUUCGAUUAAGCGUUUAAAAUUUGUGAUACACAGUGUAAUCAUUCUGUAAAUCUGGUUGAAAAAUUUAAGAAAAAAGAGCUUAAGAAAUAAAACAUUUACUCUCUAUUAAAUACAAAAUGUAUACCAUAUUCAUAAGAUACUUUGCUGGAAAAUAUAGUUAAUUCGGAAAUGGA